rnacentral:lncRNA from 1 species
GUAAUCCUGGAAAAACUGUGAAAAGUCAGGAAGGAUGUUACCAAGUCCUAUGGAUGCCAGUUCUUAGAAUUCUUUCAAAUCUGUUCUGAAACACUGUAGCAUCAGGAAAUCUAAAGACUUAUAUCCUGUGGUUAGGCCCCACAGAACAAAAGAUAAAGCUUUACUGAGGAGGCUUAGAGUCUCCCAGGAGGAAGAAGGAUUUGGUUCAUUGAAGCCCUCAAUAGCAAGUAAGCCAG